GCUGCACUUUACAGGGACGUGAGAGGAGUUGGCAGUGAUCGUGUCCUUGUCUUAUUUACUCUGUGCUCCACUUAGCCAGAUUAUUCUUAUUAUUUAUCACAGUCUGCAUUUUGGACUUUCUGGUCAAUCAUUUGUAUCCUGAAUAAACACAGAGAUCCGGGAACAUGGCGGCGUCACUGAAGAGAGUCCAACACAACGAGGACCAGGAGCAGACGAUCGCUUCUGUGUCACUGAACAUGACAGCAUCACAGCUUACAGACCGACCUUCACACUGAACUCUACAAAUACAACAAGAUCCGUUCAGAUGUGACACGGUGAUCGGCUGUUCAUGCAAACAUCGGGGGAGCGACGCCAUCCCAUUGGUUCAGAAUGGAUCUCAGCCUGUGUUUCAGCUUCACAGUUUGGUUUCCAUUUGGGGAAUUAGUCACAUAAACCCAUUUUGUGUGGAUGAAGGCCUCCAGUGAUUCGAACUCCAGACGUGCCAGUUUGAUCUGGAUGUGUUUGGGAACGUCUGGGAUGAGGAAGGUCAGGAUGAACUUGAUGGCCAGCAGUCCGUGCUGAAAACACACAACCAGACACAUUGCAU